UACAGAGGUGGCAAGCGUUGUUCGGAAUUACUGGGCGUAAAGGCGCGUAGGCGGCCAUCUAAGUCAGACGUGAAAUCCCCCGGCUUAACCUGGGAACUGCGUCUGAUACUGGAAGGCUUGAGUAUGGGAGAGGGAUGUAGAAUUCCAGGUGUAGCGGUGAAAAUGCGUAGAUAUCUGGAGGAAUACCGGUGGCGAAGGCGGCAUCCUGGACCGACAUUGACGCUGAUGAGCGAAAGCUA
rnacentral:rRNA from 1 species